rnacentral:rRNA from 1 species
UACGUAGGGGGCAAGCGUUGUCCGGAUUUAUUGGGCGUAAAGAGGGUGUAGGCGGUCAGGUAGGUCCGUUGUGAAAACUCGAGGCUCAACCUCGAGACGCCGAUGGAAACCAUCUGACUAGAGUCCGGAAGAGGAGAGUGGAAUUCCUGGUGUAGCGGUGAAAUGCGCAGAUAUCAGGAAGAACACCCGUGGCUAAGGCGGCUCUCUAGUACGGUACUGACGCUGAGACGCGAAAGCGUGGGGAGCGAACAGG